UCUCUGGAGAACCUCCCUUCCAAUUUUAGAGGGGGUAGAGAUAGACUCACCUAGGUUCAAGCUGUCUUCUUCAGGAUCAUGGGGACUCCACGGGGUCCCGGGGGAGCAGAGAUGUGAGGCAUUAUAUAAAAUUGGAAAUGUCACAGAGGACAGAGAAAGGCUCCAUCCAGCACUCCAACAGCAAUCUUAGGACCAGCUGAAACACAAGUGGUCAAGGAUAGCCAGCCACCCGCAGAGAGGCAGACACGAGGAUCAGGGUGAAGCCGGUUUCCCAGCUGGGGAAGGGAGGGAAAACUUGUGAAAACAUCAAGUCAAACCGGGACCUUUCUCGGGGCCAAGACGUACUGAGAGGCCGGUGCAUCGGAAGACCUCACUAUCGCCCGAAGUUGACCUGAACCCCUUUCCCAGUGUGUCAGCGGCGCCCCCUUUAACCUAGUGCCACUUAUUAUCAAAAUUAUUUCUUGCCCAGGGGACAUGGUUGCGGACUCCUCUGGCGCAUUUUUGUAUCCCCAAGGUAUCCCGCAGGCCUUGAAAUAGAAACGGUUAAUAAAACAAGGAAACGUUGAGUGUG